GGGGGUGAACGGUUUCGACAACAGUGAAUCGCGUUAGGUGAAGCGGGCCGAGGUUCAGGACAGAUCUCGUAAACCAUGUCUUGAAAAAAUAAGUGCAAAUAAAUCUCGCACUGACUUUGCUCUAGCUGCUUAAAGUAGCUUUAGCCAUAAAGUCCGUCAGCUCAGAAGUUCCUUCGAUCUGAGAUCUGGCUGGCAAGGCCACAAGUAACCAGCAGGUCAAGAACACAUAAAAGUGGAUGCGCCCGGAGAAGCCCUAGUACGACACUGAUGGACGCGGGUUCAAAUCCCGCCACCUCCACAG
rnacentral:tmRNA from 1 species